GGAAGGGUGGCUGAGUCCGGUCUAAGGCACUCGACUCGAAAUCGAGCGUGCUGUAAAAGGCACCGUGGGUUCGAAUCCCACCCCUUCCG
rnacentral:tRNA from 2 species